GGGGAUGACUUGGAUUCGACGCCGGUGACGAAACCUUGGGUGCAUGCCGUGAUGGCAGCCAAUCACGUUAAUCCAAAGCUGUACUUUACUAGUUGCCAACGACGACAACUACGCUCUAGCGGCUUAAGCCCGCUAGCAGUCUGCUGCAAGGUUCCAGUAUCGCGCUGCAGGCUGUAAUACAGAACUGGAUCGCCGUGAACCGCGCCUGUCGGGGAUCGGUUAAACACUUCACAGGCUCGCCUUCUACGUCCUGACCGCCGGGCUGUAGCGGGCUAAAUCAAUAGACGGAGCUAAGCAUGUAGAGCCUCUGGCAGAGUGCUGACGGACGCGGGUUCGACUCCCGCCAUCUCCACCA
rnacentral:tmRNA from 1 species